GCUAGACUGGCACCAUCACGCUGUGCCACAGUUAGGGGGUUGCAAAGGUGACCUCUCGCGUGGGCAUCCCACUCAGCCAGCUCCUGCUGAGAGCAUGAAUAUUCCAGCAGCAGCUGCUGCCUCCUGAUGGGGCGGUCUCUCCACCAGCCUGCCCCCUCCUCUGCCUCCUCACAAACCCCUCCUUGUCCCCCAGUGCUAUAAGAGAGGGGCUCCUCCAGGGCUCUGUCCACAACAUGACCAUGUGGCAGCUGCUUCUGCUCACCCUGAUCUGUGGAGGUGCAGCCGACCUGCCCCUCCCAGAUGGAUGUGACAAGGGUGCUGCAUACUGGUGCAGGAACUUGAUGACAGCCAUCCAGUGCGGUGCCUGGGAACACUGCAUGCAGACAGGAUGGAACCAGGCCAGCAACGUUGGUAUCCGCUGCUUCCCCUUCCUCAGCCCUCUCAGGGGCACUUGGGGGAAACUUUGGCUGACCUGGGGCUGCUGCUGAGAGGCAUCCUGGGCCCAGCCAUUGGUUGGAGUGCCUCGUUGACAGAGUCUGAAGGAGGUUGCUCAUGCCUUGCCUUCUAGGAGGACCUGUGUGCAGAUUGCAAGCAACUUGUGGCGAUCCUCAUUCGCAUGGCCAAAGAGUCGCCCUUUAAGGUGAGCCACUAACCAGGAUAGGCAAAACACCAGGCAGGAAGCA
rnacentral:lncRNA from 1 species